rnacentral:lncRNA from 1 species
CUGUCCUCUUGGCAGUCAUUCAGUCAGUCCCUCUAGGAGAGCAAAGGACGGUAAGCAAGAGCUGCCCAAGGAAUUGUACUGAUGCGGGAGGAAGAAGGAAUACAGUGACAAGCUUGCCAUAAGCCCUAUUUGAGUGUUAUAGUCUGUAAUUGUGGAGAAGGAGAGAGGGAUGUUUGCUCAAGCGGUCCUCCUUCACAGGGCUUUGGAUUGCCUGGAGGUUCUCAUUCAGGAUUCAGCAGUUUGGCAGAUGCUAGAAGGAUAAGGCCACCACCACGUAGACCACCAAGAAGAAAAAGUUGCAACGUGGCUCCAAGGAACAGACGGGACUGUGGUUAUCCAGGGAUCAGUAAACGAACAUGUGAAAGUAAAGGGUGCUGCUUUAGCGGCAGGAUCCAAAAUGCCAAGUGGUGUUACUAUCAUGGGUGAGUAAUGUAUUUGUAUGGAAGUUCUAUUCACUACGAAACAUGAGACUUUGACUUUUUCCCAUUAACAAUGAGACAUAACAAAAUAUUUGGCUGAAGAACAUUAGUUAGUUGCAGGAUAUUGGUCUGCCUCCAGUGUGACAUUAAUUGAGUUAAUUACAAGAUUGUCAAUAUGCUCAAACAAUGGCAUCAGCUGUGCAUUAAUUAAAGCUAUCAUUAAUUAAAACCAUUGUUCUGCCCACAUUUUUUUUCAAUGGAAUUGCAUUAAAAUCCUUUGAACUUUAUACAAGAAAUUCUACCUAGUGAAAUGAUGUCUGUUUUUUCUCUCCUACAGAUGAUUGAAAUGAAAUAGUGACAGCAUCCUGGAAGCUCUUGCAGUAGAAUUCUUGAAAAACAGAAGCUUUAAAUCUACCUCUGAAUCUCAACUUCGCAACUAUAGUACAUGGUUAGCUGUUGCUGCUGUUUGGAAAGCAGAAGUUUAUUUUCUUCCUCUCCCCUUGGCUGUAUUAUAUUUAUGGCCAUGCUUUUUGCAUUACAGUUGCAUUAAAGGCAAAGCAUCACAAAAAACAUUGUGUGUUUUAUUUCUGUUUUUCAUACUCCUGACACUUUUCUCAUUUUAAA